GACAUUCUUGUCGGUGCCAUCUCUCCUCCUCGAGUCUUUAUCGCCGUCUGCCCCUCCGCGUACUUCCUCUGCUCGUUCUGCCAUUGUCGCAGAUCGUCACAUUGUUGCUCGUAGAUCGUCCUGUCCAGAUCUGCCGUAGAUCGUUCCAUUCUCAGGGUUCUUAAAGGCAUUCUAGUCUUCUUGCUGUCCUGAAUGGUGGUAAAUCAUGUGAGGAUAAGCAAAAACAGAAGCAAGAGGAAGCUUCUACUUCUGAGAAUCAAUCACCGUGCUGGUGCCUCCGCUGAACUUCGCCGUGGUGGACAACGGCAUUUUUCGCUCUGGUUUUCCCGAACCCCCCAACUUCGGGUUCCUGAAAUCGCUCCACCUCCGUUCCGUUAUAUGUUUGUGCCCCGAGCCCUAUCCGGAACCCAAUUCAGAAUUUCUGAAGUUUCAUGGAAUUAGGCUUUUCCAAUUCGGGAUCGAUGGCUGUAAGCGUUGAUUACACUUGUGGGUAGGAACCCUUUGUCAACAUCCCAAAGGGUACUAUUUGAGAAGCUUUGAAAGUAGUCCUAGAUGUUAGAAACCACCCGUGCUAAUUCAUUGUAAACGAGGGAAGCAGACUCAUGUUCAUGGACUCCUUGCAUCAUGAGUUUAUGGUCGCUAAAGAUCUGUUUAUACAUCUGGGAAACCAUCAUCUGCUGCUGGAUUGACUGCAACAGUUGCUAAGGAACCAGAAACUGGAGAGUUUUGUAUUGAGUGUGGAGUCUGGUGACAUUGAUCUAAGGCUAAGGCUAUUAAUCCUUAUUCUGCAUCUGCACUCUACAGUGUUUUGGCAACCUUGGUGAAGAACAAAGUUGUGCCUGAUCCAAGAUUCAAGGUUAAGAUUGUUUAAAGAUUCUGUUGUGGUUUGUAUUGGUUGCAGCUCCAAAAACAGUGGAAAAAUGAAAGAGAAAAAAUUAGUGCAGAAAAUCAGAAAUUGUUGAACCAUAUUGAUUGUUCAUGAAUAGAGCAAAGUUAUGUUAUUCAUGAAUUAUUUUUCCCUUUAGUCUAGAUUGUGGAUAAUAAUUUUGAUGUAUUUAGGAAUUUUCAAUAUUUUAAAUUUUAUAUUUUUAUGUAGA